UACGUAGGGAGCAAGCGUUGUCCGGAAUCAUUGGGCGUAAAGCGCGCGUAGGUGGCUUCGUAAGUCCGCUGUGAAAGUCAAAGGCUCAACCUUUGAAAGCCGAUGGAUACUGCAGGGCUAGAGUCCGGAAGAGGCGAGUGGAAUUCCUGGUGUAGCGGUGGAAUGCGCAGAUAUCAGGAGGAACACCAAUAGCGAAGGCAGCUCGCUGGGACGGUACUGACGCUAAGGCGCGAAAGCGUGGGGAGCGAACAGG
rnacentral:rRNA from 1 species